AAACUGGGAUUACAGGUCGGAGCCAUCACUCCCACUUCUCUCAAGGUCCUCCUGGGAUCUGGCUGUGUCCGGGAGAUGCGGUUGUGGCCAGGGGACACGACUGUGGCGUCGGAGGGACAGCUCAGCAGCAAGAGAGACACAAGCCAGGCAGAAAAGCCCUGCAGGAUUGUUUUGUGUGCCGUGUUGGGUGGGCGCUGGACAUCCUCAUGCUGGCCUAGCUGACGAGCUCGUGGGAUGCCAAGCAAGACAUAGAUUAAUCUGAAAACCAGCUCAGCAGCACACACCUGUGUCCCAGCGCUGAAGAGGCCGACAGAGCCUCCGGAACUUCUUACAAGCAAGGUUGGGAAGAGUCUGCAUCAGUUCUUUUUGUGGUCAUCUUUCAAACUAUGGGCUGAAAUGGAGCUAGAUGAGGAGACCUAGGGACUGAAGGGGCUGGGGAAAGGACUCCUGAGACAAGCCAUAUUCCACUACGCAGAGUAGGAGAGCCUUGAACUUACUGUGGAGCUGACAUCAAACUUCUUCCUUCUUCAGCCUUGCAAAUGCUGGAGUUGUAGGUAUGAACUCACCAUAUCCAGAUUAAAGCCUAAGCAAAGCGCCCAUUUGCCUAUCUCAAGAAUGUAAGAACUUGUCUCUGGUAGUGUCCUCUUCUCCACCCCCACCCCACCCCCAGUACCUCUGGUGGAAGAUACCAUGUUUAUCUGGAGCACAUGAAACCAUGACCUUAUAAGGAGUCAGGAGUUUGUGGUCUGUUUGCCUUAAAAGUUAUCAUUGCCUUCACGUUGUUUAUGAAAAAUCUUGUUGCCUGGGUAAGGUCCAGUUUUGUAUUCCUUGAUUGCCAUCUGCUGGUGGGUCUCCAUACUUGGAAACAGAAAUUCCCUGGAAGACUGGAUCAACCUGGAGGGAUCUUCUUGCUUCCCAAGUGGCUGGUACUAUAGACUCGUGUAACCAAACCCGGUUGAGAAUGACACUUUGAACACUCAUAAUGAGGGAGGAGGUCAAGGGUGAUGUGGCGGUGAUGGGAGUGGGGGUGGUGAUGGCAGCAAUUAUAACAGAUGGCUUUAUUCCCUCAAAAGGUGUCUAUUGAGCCUCACUAAGGACUAGAUGCUGGGGGCGGGGCACAGAUAAGCAGGGUAGAACAAACAUGUCCUUGUAGAGAUUUGAUUCCCGGGCAUGAGACAUUAAGCAAAUAAGUGUGAUUCCCAGCAAAACAAACCAGGGCAGAUGAGGAAGUCAUGUGGAGGGAGGACACUGCUUAGACAGAAGGUCUGGGAGGCCUUUAGCAGGUGAAUUUGGACACAAGCCUGAACAAGGUGAAUUUUGUUGAGUAGUUCUCUAUGUAGACCCUGAGCCAACGGCUUCCUAUGCAGCACAUGGCAUACCCUCUCUCCACACGUGAGAGCUAGGUCCCGCCGCUCCCCCAUAUUACCAAAGAAGAGAGAAAAGGAGCCGGAAGCUAAACCUUGGCCCUGUCCUUUCACGCUACUUUGUAACUUUUCAAAGCUCUUUCAUGCAAAUGGAAUAAUAUAUGCAGAGAUGCCUUGUGGUUGAUAAAGUACUAUGCAAAUGCAAGCAAUUAAAAUUGUAACUAUUUUAAUGCAGUCUGAUUUGACCUUCAUGGCAUCCUUUGAAGGAAAUCAGGUGGUAGUAUUAUAUCCUUCUAUAGACUAAAGCCACACAUGCACCCCACUCCGUAGUGACUUAGCCAAGGUCCCAAAGGCAGUCAAGGGCGUAUUCAAAACCAAUUUUUAAGGAAUACUGUUUUAAAGUUUGGGACUUUUGUUCUUGAGAUGAUAAAUUAUAUUCAAUAUAUUUCUUGCCAAGCUUAUUUAUAACUAUAUUAAUCAUCAGAGUUAAAAAAUGGUUUAAUGCUCAACAUUAAGCCUUCAAGUGCUUGCAAGGGCUUGAUUUCAGAUGCUCGAGGUCAGGAGGGAUUACCAACAGUCCCAAAUGCAAGACUUACCACAAACAAAUGUCAGCAUUGUUUUCCUUACAUUCCUAGAUCCAGAGCUCCUUCCUGGCUGUUGAGGGCUCACGCCAGAGGCUGAGGGGAUGUUCAGAUUUUAGAAAGCCCCACAGCAGAAAAUUCAGGAAGAAAGACUGGCUAGUGGUUUGAAACUACCCUAACUCUCCUCCUAUCCCUGCCUCCCCAUCCAACAACUCCCACUGGUGGUAAAGCCUGGUUCGAGAACUCUUCCCUACACAUUUCCAUAAACUGCUCCUCAUAUUUUCUUUAAGGUUUGGAGUUAAGAGUUAACUAAAAGCAAAAAAGACGCCAGUGCCUUAGCAAAGGCCAUGGGUACCUCAAGACCUACCAGAAGGGGCCCAGACCUUGAGGGUGAUUUUUUGUAAUGUUCUAUCCAGGAGAGAAGCCAGAGCAUCCCAUGAGGGACAGAAAAUAGUGAGUCCAAGAGUACAUAACAAAGCCACCCACACUUACAACGAAAAGCCCAGUAGGCCAUCUGUGAUGCCUAUAAUCCCAGCACUUGGGAGGAUGAGAUCAGCCUCUGACCUCCUAUAAGAAGAGAACUCUGACCACAACACUCAUGCCAUAGCACCCAAGGCAACCAUGUAAACAAAAAAAUGUCAAAAGAAAAAAUACAUGACAAAUAUGAUCUUGAAUUAUAGUAUUCUAAAACUCAGGAGUUCUUUAUUUUACAAUUCUCUGAAAAAUUGUCAGGUUUUCAAAUUGCGUGGGCUAUGUGAAUCUCCAAUUUCAAAAAAGUCAAUAAAAUAGAGUUUGAAAAGUUAUGAGAUGAGGUCACAGUGGAACUAAUUGUUUCCUUGUGAGACAGAGUCUCAUUCUGUAGUCCAAGCUGUCCUGGAGUUAAACCGAAGUCAUCCCUAAACUCAUGGAGAUCCUCCUGCCUCAGGGUCAUAAGUGCUCUAUGCCAUAAACCGACAAAAUGUUUGUGUAUUUCCUUGAUGUCAGAAUUUAUCGAAUAAUAGUAAGUUUACAUGAUUUAGGUUUUUUGUUUUGUUU